rnacentral:lncRNA from 10 species
GCAGAAGAGAUGCUGUGAUUAAUUCUGAGGCAGUGUCCUAAAAAAUUUGCAGGUUCUACCUUCACAUCUUGAAAUAUUUCUUUUCAGAACCACCAUGCUCUGAAAAAUCCAAAUAAACUGGAGAAAGAGCCAUAUGAGAAGAGCAAAGUCAUGCUGUCCAGUCUCAGCAGACCCCCAGGCUACAGCCAGCAACAAGUGCCAGCCAUGUCAUCCAGAUGUCUUGAAUGUUUCAGCCUCAAUCCUUCAAGUGAACACAGUUCCAGAAAACAGUACAUGAAGAAGAAAGACUAUGCAGCUGUUCUAAGUCAAUCUAAAAAUAAUACCAUAAAGUGACACUUCGGUUUUCAGCCACUAAGUUUUGAGUUAUUUGGUAUGCAGCAAAAACAGAUAAUAGAAAUACAUACAAUUUUCUAAAUAUUCUUCUAUUUUUCUCCAUAGAAUAUUUUUAUAGUCAUGUUAAAUAAUGCAGGGAGCAUGCAAUACUUAAGCAAUUGUUAAAUAAUACAAGUUUUAAUAUAAAUUAAGACAUGAAGUUGAAAAGAGUACAAGCAAGUUUCAAUCCCAAGCCAAGAACAUAAAAACUUCAUCAUGUCUUAUUUCAGGAGUCUAUUGUUACAUGGUAUGAAUAGAGCUAGGAAGAAAUUCAUGAACUAAAAUAUAUAAUCUUGGCAAAAUAUAACACUAAAAUACUAAAAACUAUCAACAAUAUCCUACGGACCGGGCAGAAUUGAACUAGUAAACCUCAAAUACCAGUUAAAAUGUGAACCUGUAGUAUUUAAAUUAUGUCGUUGGACUAUUUCUAAAAAGAUACUAAUAGCAAUCAUUUAUCAAGCAUUUAUAUGAAUUACUGCAGGAGCUCCAUGCACACUCCUUAAGAAAAAAUGAAGAUUUACCAAAUAUGCAAUAUUGUAUUGUACAGUGUAACCCUGUGCUAUUGUCUUCCUCUCUACUGAACGAUCUAAAAUUGUUAUGAUGUGUACACAUUUUACAUUUAUAACAUUCAUUGACAUUUAGUCUAAUUAAUUAUUAGUUCAGCAUGCAUAGUCUAUUUGUAUUAGUCAUGUCCAUAUUUGCAACUCAAAACACAGAAUUAACUUUUCGAAGGCUACGUAGGAGAUGGGAUUCUUUAUUUGGGGGAUGAGGGAAAAAUAUUCUAUAUUUAUCAUAUGCUUUGAAAUGUUUCCAAUGCCUUUAUUUGACUGAUAGAGAUUCUUGUGUGUGUGUGUGUAUUUAUAUCUGUGUGUGAUCAAAAUGUAUGGAGUCAUAAAAAAAAUCCACUACUUAGUUUCAAAUAUUUGAAUGAUCUUUGAAAUUCAUUUAGAAUAAGUUACAUAAUUAAAGCUGCCUUAAUUUUUUUAAACCAAAUAGCCCUUUAUAGAGUUUGCACUGAGAGCUUCUUUGCUUUUCUCUAUUCUUCCUGUAAUGUUCUUGUGAUUAAUUCAAAACCCAUAUGUACUCUCUCAAAUUGUUACAGGUAGUUAGAUAGGCAUGCGUGGGGCAGGAGAGGGCUUUUCCCUCACCCACUAGGACUGUCAGGUGUUGAUUUGACGUUUAUAAAACUUCUCUAAAAAUGAUAAUUUGGCAGCCACAGGGAG